GCUCCCAUGGCGUAGUGGUCACUGCGCUCGCCUUGCACGCGGGAGACCCGGGUUCGAUUCCCGGCGGGGGCA
rfam:Asian citrus Psyllid, Diaphorina citri - Florida Strain, whole genome shotgun sequence.